UUCAGGUAAGGUGAGGAUUUCA
rnacentral:siRNA from 1 species